GUAACUCUCAUCCGCCUCCGCACCUCCAUCUCCUCCUCCACCGCCGCACCCUAAUCUUCUCCUCUGCCAUCCCACCGCGGCAGCCACGAACCCUCCUCCGCCAUCCCGCCGCGCCGGCCAUGAGCCCUCCAACGAAGCUGCCCCACCACAUCAUCCAUGACUCCUACGCCGCCGCGCGUCCGUCCUCCUUAGAUCCACUUCUACUCCCCCUCCGCAUCCUUCGCCGCCGCCGCCGGCUCGUACGCCGCCUGAGGUCGCGUCCUCAGAUUGAGCGGGCCACCAACGCCGCCUGCUGCUUUGACCGGCCUGCAGCCCAGCAGCGACCCGGUUCUCGCAGGUGAGCCUCCCCUCCCAGUCGACACCAAGGCGGCAUUCGCACAGAUCUACAACACGCUCAAGGACUGGGUGGACAUCGAGGAGACCCCAGGCGAGUACAGCUUCAUGCGCGAUGUCCCCGACUUCUCCAAGCCAGGCCCGGGACGGGAGGUCGCGCCCCGAGCUCCUCCUCCUUGGGCGUGCUCCACCUGCAGGCUGGUCCAGGCAGUGGGGGUGGCUGCGCCUCGGGCCUUGCCUCUCAGGAGGACUGCCUAGAUCCGAGCGGGGUGGCGGUCACCUCCGUGAGAGGCAGUAGGAUCUCUCCACGGCGGAUCCUUGAGGCGUGUCGUGGCGUGCCCGGACUGCCAGGAGCGUUUCGUCUGCUCCGGCCUCUCCUUCAUGCACAGCCUCCAACUCGUUGAUUUUCUGUGUUUUGGCUAUAAUUAAUGUUUUGGUUGCUCUUUUUUCCAUGUGAUUUCUGGGUGCUUUUCACCAACGCGUGCUCCCAAACUCGUCGAUGGCCUUCUCUUUGGUUUGACCAGCCUGCUGUUUAGUUGGUGGUCUGCUCAGAUUAUUUAUGCUUGUUUGGUGUUGUCUGACGGCUAGCUCACUUUUGAUUUACGCAUCUCUAUUACCGUGAUUCUGAUUUUUUUGAGUUUUACUGUGUAGGUGCAGUGGAGCACUGGAGCUGAAUCGUGGAGUUGCAACUCUGAAUCAUGGACUGCAUCAAGUCGUGCCUAAUAUUUAAGCUUAUGUAACAUUGCUGAUCCAAUAUACCAUGGGCAUAAGUUUGUGUAACACAAACUAUAUUGUCAGUUAUGGUGUGGACUACUUGAAAUUCACGAGCUUUGGACACCUGCAAGCUUCUGGAGCUAUUACUUUAAAUUCUAGUAGUAACUUAGAGCUAUUACUUGUUAUGAUUUGAUAGUAGCCCAUUGGAUUCACAAAUCUUUUUAUUGCAAAUAUUGGUGACUGAAAGUAUUUGACAUUUCUUUUUUAGUGUACUUGUAUUUGACAUAUUGGUCUGCUUGUAGCUCAUUCACCUAGGUUACUAGUGUUGCAUUAUUUUUAUGAUCUUCGAAAGUGUAUAUCAGCUGCACAAGCUUUCUAGCUUUCUAGGUUAUAGUGCAUCAUUUUUUCUUUCGAGGAGUUCAUUUCCAAGUUAAAGAAAAAAUUAUAGUAGAUCCUUUUUUGUUUGGAGGAUACAAGUGUUCAUUUCCAAGUUAAAGAAAUGUUGCAUGAGCAUCCAGUAUAUGGUACACCACUGCAUAGUGUUGCAAAUAUUUUGACCUAUCUCCUGUGAUGCUCAAUAUGAACUUUGAGAUGGUACACCACUGCAUAGUGUUCGUUUCCAAGUUAAAGAAAUGGAAAAUGCAAUAUGAACUUUUACAUGGAUUUAAUAUUUGCAUGUCAGGGGCUCUUGGUCAGCAACAAGCGGCAAUCUGACAGGCCAUGAGGGGCUCAAGAAAUAUUUUGCUCUCAGUCAGCAUCAAUCCAGCAAGGCAUCAAGGGCAAGAAAGUACAAGGCUGCAUCUUGUUAUAUUUUGCUAAACUUGUCUUUUGUAGUUUCUGUUGCUUGAGUGGCUUAAAUGCCAUGUUGCUCUAGAGAAUUAUAAACUGGAUUUGAAAUAUUGUUCUGGUGAUGGUAACUUGGAUGAUAAUUUUUUUUGUCUUGUGGGCUGAAUUGAUUAUUUGAUAAAUAGGCUAAAUUUUCCAUGGGCUUUA